rnacentral:rRNA from 1 species
CCCUUAGAUGUUCUGGGCCGCACGCGCGCUACACUGACGGAGUCAACGAGUUGUCCUGCAUCGGAAGGUGUGGGUAAUCUUUUGAAACUUCGUCGUGCUGGGGAUAGAUCUUUGCAAUUUUCGAUCUUGAACGAGGAAUUCCUAGUAAGCGCGAUUCAUCAGAUCGCGUUGAUUACGUCCCUGCCCUUUGUACACACCGCCCGUCGCUACUACCGAUUGAAUGGUUUAGUGAGGCCUCGGGACUGGCGCGCUCGAGUAGCAAUACACCUGCGCGCCGGGAACUUGGUCAAACUUGAUCAUUUAGAGGAAGUAAAAGUCGUAACA